rnacentral:rRNA from 1 species
UACGAAGGGGGCGAGCGUUGUUCGGAAUUACUGGGCGUAAAGGGUGUGUAGGUGGUUGCUUAAGUCGAUUGUUUAAUUUCACGGCCUAACCGUGAGUCUGCGGUCGAUACUGGGUGACUAGAGGGUGGAAGAGAGAAGUGGAAUUCUCGGAGUAGCGGUUAAAUGCGUAGAUCUCGAGAGGAACACCGGUGGCGAAGGCGGCUUCUUGGUCCACUCCUGACACUGAGACACGAAAGCGUGGGGAGCAAACAGG